GGGGGUGCACCGGUUUCGACGGAUGCGGGAACCCCUGUGCUGCAGGUGGGCGUGAAGGUGCCCUAAACUGACAAAAAAAUAACUGCAAAACGUAGAGAAGAAGAAGAUUCUUCAGACGAACAGUUUGCUCUUGCUGCUUAGUCAGUGAGCACGGAACUUCUGCUGUGCUGUUCCGAACAGCGGUCUGUUCUGAUGCCAACCGGAACUUGAUUUGCAAUGCUUUCAGCCGUUGCAGAUGACAAUCAGCUGGAAUAAGGAAAAGACGCUUGUAAUGCUGCUACCUUUUCCCGACAAAUACCUCGCAUUACUAAACUUGUAGAGGCGCUUGGAUUACACACCCGGACGGGGGUUCAAUUCCCCCCAUCUCCACUU
rfam:Treponema porcinum strain ATCC BAA-908 genome assembly, contig: EI69DRAFT_scaffold00010.10